rnacentral:tRNA from 1 species
GCUCCCAUAGCUCAAUUGGAUAGAGCACUGGUUUCCGGGGCCGGUGAUUCCGGUUCAAGUCCGGAUGGGUGCA